AUACUUACCUGACAGGGGAGAUACAGUGAUCACGAAGGUGGUUUUCCCAGGAUGAGGCUUCUCCAUUGCACUUGGGAUGUGCUGACCACUGUGAUUUCUCCAAAUGUGGAAAACUUGACUGCAUAAUUUGUGGUAGUGGGGGACUGCAUUUGUGCUCUCUCGAA